rnacentral:SRP_RNA from 1 species
UUGCUAAGGAACUGAACACUGGUGUGGUUUAAAAUACAGCCUUGUAAAGGGCGUCUGCAUUAAGUUCAGCAUCAAUAUAGUGAACUUCUGGGAGAGGGGGACCACCAGGUUGCCCUAGGAGAGGUGAAUCUGCCCAGAUUGGAAAUGGAGCAGAUCAAAACGUUCAUGCUGAUCAGUAGUGAGAUUGUUCCUGUGAAUAGCCACUGCACUCCAGCCUAGGCAACA